UAGGACAAUGUUACGUAGAAAAUGAUCUGCAACUAGAUAACUUAAAUAGUAAUAGGGAAGAUAUAAUUUGAUAUAAUAUCAGACAGUACAUAAUUUACAAAGAUAACGUUUGUUUGUCGUGUGUGCUUCCGGGUUUUUACCGGGUCAAAUCUAAUUAUUAUAUGUUUAAAAUAUGACCUGCGUCGGAAAGAAAUCGACCUGAUGUAUAUGAAUAUCAAUACAUCUGUCAACCUAUUUCGGGUACAAAAACAUACCUAUGCAUAAUCAAUAACUGUUUGAAGAUUGGGUUGAUAUGAAAACCCUAAAAAUCAGACUAAAAAUCAUCUUUGAAUCGUAUUUGAAUGUUCUAAAAUCAAUCAAAGUUUUAUACAUGUGCAUGUAUACGAACACUAAGUUUUCCAUAAAGCGUAUAUAUAAAAUUUUGUCCUGGUAUCUAUGAUGAGUUUAUCAUGUUUAUUUUCCAUAAAGUCGAUUAAAAUCCGGCGAUGCUCACAUCUUUGAUAUAUAUCAUGGACAUCUUGUACUUUUUAACUUCACCUUAAAUAAAAGUUAUCACUUUUGAACAUGCAAAUACGAUACUCUGGCAAACAACAAUGUACAAGAAUCUGUGAUCAGUACUAAUUCUGAUUUUU
rnacentral:lncRNA from 1 species